rnacentral:rRNA from 1 species
AAUGAACGCUGGCGGCGUGCCUAACACAUGCAAGUCGAACGGACGGACAAGAAGAUUGCUCUCCUGAUGGUAGCGGCUGGCGGGCGGGUAACGAGUGGAUCACCAACCUCUUUGACUGGGAUAAUUACGGGAAGCCGCAGAUACUACCGGCUAAUACUUCGAACGGCAUGGUGCAAAAGUGAUAGACGGCUUUCCCGUUUCAUAUAGACGAAGCCGCGCUGCAUUAGCUAGUUGGUAAGGUAACGGCUAACCAAGGCUACGAUGCAUAGCCGACCUGAGAGGAUGAUCGGCCACACUGGAACUGAGACACGGUCCAGACUCCUACGGGAGGCAGCAGUAGGGAAUCUUCCGCAAUGGGCGAAAGCCUGACGGAGCAACGCCGCGUGAGUGAUGAAGGUCUUCGGGUCGUAAAACUCUUUUAUUAGGGAAGAAAAGAUGUGUAUUUAUCUGUGCACAUCUUGACGGUACCUAAUGAGAAAGCCACGGCUAACUUCGUG